AUACGGAGGGGGCUAGCGUUGUUCGGAAUUACUGGGCGUAAAGGGUGCGUAGGCGGCUUGAUAAGUCGGAUGUGAAAGCCCCGGGCUUAACCUGGGAAUUGCAUUCGAUACUGUCAGGCUAGAGUAUGUCAGAGGUUGGCGGAAUUCCUGGUGUAGCGGUGAAAUGCGUAGAUAUCAGGAGGAACACCAGUGGCGAAGGCGGCUAACUGGGACAAUACUGACGCUGAGGCACGAAAGCGUGGGGAGCAAACAGGAUUAGAAACCCUAGUAGUCC
rnacentral:rRNA from 1 species